GUGCUAUAUGAAAGGAGAGAAGGUUAACUCUCUUCUUGACAAGGAUAGAAGAAGCUCUUGGUCCUGACAACAUGUUUACAGUUCAGACAUUGCCAUCUCCUUUGUGGUAUCUAACCAUCAUUUUUU